AGUGAACGCUGGCGGUAGGCCUAACACAUGCAAGUCGAACGGCAGCACAGUAAGAGCUUGCUCUUACGGGUGGCGAGUGGCGGACGGGUGAGGAAUACAUCGGAAUCUACUUUUUCGUGGGGGAUAACGUAGGGAAACUUACGCUAAUACCGCAUACGACCUACGGGUGAAAGCAGGGGAUCUUCGGACCUUGCGCGAUUGAAUGAGCCGAUGUCGGAUUAGCUAGUUGGCGGGGUAAAGGCCCACCAAGGCGACGAUCCUUAGCUGGUCUGAGAGGAUGAUCAGCCACACUGGAACUGAGACACGAUCCAGACUCCUACGAGAGGCAGCAGUGGGGAAUAUUGGACAAUGGGCGCAAGCCUGAUCCAGCCAUACCGCGUGGGUGAAGAAGGCCUUCGGGUUGUAAAGCCCUUUUGUGGGGAGAGAAGAGCAGCAGGUUAAUACCCCGCUGUUCUGACGGUACCCAAAGAAUAAGCACCGGCUAACUUCGUG
rnacentral:rRNA from 1 species